rnacentral:rRNA from 1 species
UACGUAGGUGGCAAGCGUUGUCCGGAAUUAUUGGGCGUAAAGCGCGCGCAGGCGGCCUUUUAAGUCUGAUGUGAAAGCCCACGGCUCAACCGUGGAAGGUCAUUGGAAACUGAAGGGCUUGAGUACAGAAGAGGAAAGCGGAAUUCCACGUGUAGCGGUGAAAUGCGUAGAGAUGUGGAGGAACACCAGUGGCGAAGGCGGCUUUCUGGUCUGUAACUGACGCUGAGGCGCGAAAGCGUGGGGAGCAAACAGG